ensembl:lncRNA
AACUAAAGGAACUGAGAAUAGGUGGAGAAAAUCGAAAUGUCAAAAGGAAAAUGAUGUAUUCUCUGUUUGGUCGCUGCAUUUCACAGAAAAUGGCACGAUUUUGUUUUCAGCCUCUCCUAUUAUUUCUCUUAAUAGUCGUAUCAGAAUGCAGAGCUGCCUCACCAGGUACUGAGACUGUGUCUGGGCAUCAGGAAGGUGACAUAGUUCUCUCAUGUUUAAAUCCAAACGUGAUGGAUCCAAAGAGCACCUACAGAGUCCAGUGGAAAAAGUAUGUCACAAACACCAGCCGGAUGGAGGUCAUUUUUAUGUGGCCGCAGAAACGCCAAAAUGCAAAACGUAUGAAAUGGGAAGCUGAUGGAGGUGGAAAAGGGGGACUUUAUCUGUCAAAGCUACAAAAAUCAGACGAAGGACUGUACAGUUGUGAGAUCUGGCAGGGAUGGGGCAUCGUUCUGAGCAAAAACAUAUCUUUAAAAGUGAAAGACUGUAAAGCCCUUCCACCGGUGACCGCAGCACCCGGCACAUCUGUUCGGCUCAACUGCCCAUUGAACGUCACAUCAGGGCGGCAAAAUGUCUCCUGGAUGAUGCUGAAAGGAAACAAACAUGUUUCUGUCAACUCUAAAAGGUUUCAAGUCAACGGCACGUCCCUGGUUAGCCAGUCUGUGACCACUAGCGACAGCGGCUGGUACAGAUGCAGUCACAUGCUGGGGCAAACUCAGCGCUGCUUGGUCACCAAUCUGCUGGUCCAAGAAGUGAGAACUGUUUUUGUGGCUACAACAGUUCCGCUUAUUAUAACAACAGCUCAGGAAGUGACAGUCAGAGGUGUUGCAUCGACAAACAGGACUGAGAAGAGCAGUGGAGCUUUGAUUGCACUCGUGGCAUCGGUUGUUUUGGGGAUCAUCAUAAUUGCAUCGCUGAUUGGAUUAUUCAUGUACCGCAGAUCUAAGAACCAGAGUAUCACGUAUCGAGAUCACACUGCAGACUCUGUGAGUGCCUACGAGUGUGUGGAUUUCUCAGGUUCACAAGAACCUGCAAGCAUGCAACCCAACAGUUUAUACCAACGUCAGGAUGAAAGCAUGUUCACUUUCCAUUAUUAGUCAUUUCCAGACCGCCGAAGAAAAAGAAGAUGCAUUUCUUCUAAUCCAGAACAUUCUUGCAUUAUAUAUAAAUCUGUAAUAUGCAGCCUCUUGCUUCUUAUCUUGUUUGGAUCAAAAUAUCUAAUCACCUGUAUCAUUCCAGUUAAAUGGAGACGUGCUUACGAUGUAAUCUUUCAAAAAAUAUAUAUACACUACCAUUCAAAAGUUUGGGGUUACCCAGACAAUUUCAAACUCACACUUUUACUCAUGUGCCAACAUAAUCGCACAAGGCUUUUCUAAUCAUCAAUUAGCCUUCAACACCAUUAGCUAACACAAUGUAGCAUUAGAACACAGGAGUGAUGGUUGCUGGAAAUGUUCCUCUGUACUCCUAUGGAGAUAUUCCAUUAAAAAUCAGCUGUUUCCAGCUAGAAUAGUUAUUUACCACAUUAACAAUGUCUACACUGUAUUUCUGAUUUAUUUAAUGUUAUCUUCAUUGAAAAAAAUGCUUUUCUUUCAAAAAAUAAGGUCAUUUGUAAGUGACCCUAAACUUUUUAACAGUAAUGUAUAUAUAAAUUAAAGGAAGAUCUUGAAUCCUUGACCUCUAGAGUGACGAGAUCCAGUGACUAUGUUAUACUGUGGAGGGCAUUUUUCUGGCAUGGUUGGGGUCCACUUGUACCCUUAGAAGAACGACGCAUUGCUAAUCAAUAAAAACAAUCACUUUCAUCCAAAGAUGGAACAAAUCAAUCCUGAUGUGAGCAAUCAAUGCCUGCAUCCAUGGGGCACGAAAGGUCAUAAAAUCAUAAUUAAGUCAUAAUAAUCGAUGUAAAAUGCCAUGUUUUGUCCACACCGCAAAGAUUUUCAGUUCACUGUCAUAGAGGAGUAAAGAAACCAGAAAAUAUUCUAAUUUAAAAAGCAUUUUUUAUUUAAAAAAAUGACUAAAAAUUAUAUAUCAAUUGACAAUUAAUUUAAUAGUUGAUAACUAAUUGAUUAUGCAUUGCAUCUGUAACCUAGAUCAUCCCUUUUAGAUGUCUUAAGCUAAGUCUGGAGGUAUUGUACCUAUCUUGAACUGGAAUUACGACAAGUCAAAAUGUGACAUUUAAUAAUUCAGGUCUUCCUAGUUAAAAGGACAUUUCAGACAGCCACGAUAAGAUUUCUCCAAGGGCAAAUUAUAUCACUUUUAUUAUUGUUGUGUAUGGAGUUUCUCAUCACAGAUAUCAAUAAUUUAUCUGCAGAUAUCUUCAAUUUAAACUGUGAUAUCUGCACUGUAAUGCAGAGUUCCAGAGGCUUCAAGUUCCAUUAAGUCUGCUUUAGCAACACAUGGUGGCCUGACACUUUACUAAGACACUUUUUGUUGGUUUUUCCUUUAAUUUUUCCAUUAAAUAUAAUGCAUAAUCACGACAAACAAGUCAUAAACCAUGAUUUCUGUUUCUGUCAGUUACAAGGAAGAAUCCUCUUUCAGAUGUUGGUGUUUAAAUGGUGUUUAUUUUU